rnacentral:rRNA from 1 species
GACGAACGCUGGCGGCGUGCUUAACACAUGCAAGUCGAACGGAAAGGCCCUGCUUGCAGGGUGCUCGAGUGGCGAACGGGUGAGUAACACGUGGGUGAUCUGCCCCUUACUUUGGGAUAAGCCUGGGAAACUGGGUCUAAUACUGGAUAGGACCAUGCUGUAGGUGGUGUGGUGGAAAGAUUAGUUUCGGUAAGGGAUGAGCUCGCGGCCUAUCAGCUUGUUGGUGGGGUAAUGGCCUACCAAGGCGUCGACGGGUAGCCGGCCUGAGAGGGUGGACGGCCACAUUGGGACUGAGAUACGGCCCAGACUCCUACGGGAGGCAGCAGUGGGGAAUAUUGCACAAUGGGCGCAAGCCUGAUGCAGCGACGCCGCGGGGGGGAUGACGGCCUCCGGGUUGUAAACUCCUUUCAGCCAUGACGAAGCCCUUGUGGUGACGGUAGUGGUAGAAGAAGCACCGGCUAACUACGUG